GAGGGAACCAAUUUAAUUUUUAUAAAAACAGAAAGAAAAAACAAUUUUAAAUUCAAGAAAAAAUUUUGGAGCUAGACGGAUGAAAUCGACUAUUCCAGAUUAAAAAAAAUGUUGAAAAUACAGAAAAUCUUUCAAUCCAUUGGGUAGAAAAGGGGAUUAGAUACCCUCGUAUUCAAUAAAAAAAAAGUUAGUAGUAGUAGGGUGGAAUAAACCUGAAACUAAAAAAAAAUGGCGGUGUUUCUAGACCGUUCGGAGGAACUUGUCUCGUAAUCGAUGAUCCUCGAAGAGAAUCACUAGGGUUAUCCAAAGUUUGUAUACCGUUGUUGUCAGAAAAUUUUUAAAAAAAAAAUUCAUAAACUUUCUUGGUUCUAAGCAAGGAGGUCUAAGUCAAAUCAAGGUGCAGCUUAUGCCCUAGAGAGGAUGAGUUACAAUAACUAAAAAGUUACAACGAAUUAAUAUUUGUAAUAAAUUCAGGAAGGUGGAUUCGAAAGUAAUUUUUUUACCUUUAGGAAAAAGAAAUGAGUAAGGCUCUGAAACAUGCACACAUCGCCCGUCGCUCUCAAUCAAUAUUUGAG
rnacentral:rRNA from 1 species